rnacentral:lncRNA from 1 species
AUAAUACCCUUAACUUUUUGUAAUUUAUUUCAUCUCAAGGCCAAAUAUGAAAUUUUCCCUGCCCGACUACUCCAGUGAAGACGAUGACAAUCGGAAUCUCCCCCCGCCUCCAAAAAUCCCAAGAGCACCAGCAAAAAAAAAAACUAUUCCAAAUUCAGAGUUGACCACCGUUACUGCUCUGCCAGUAGCACCACCGCUCUUCCGCUCCAGCCAUGCCGAGUUAACAAGUCAGACCACCACUCCUCCGUCAACUUCGCCCACAUCUCUGCCAGUACCACCCCAGCAAGGUAGAACUGCAUUUUC